rnacentral:rRNA from 1 species
GGGAGUGAAAUAGAUCCUGAAAUCGCAUGCAUACAAACAGUAGGAGCUCCGUAAGGGGUGACUGCGUACCUUUUGUAUAAUGGGUCAGCGACUUACAUUCAGUAGCAAGCUUAACCGCAUAGGGAAGUCGUAGCGAAAGCGAGUCUUAAUAGGGCGCCUAGUAAUAUGUAAUAGACCCGAAACCAAGCGAGCUACCCAUGUCCAGGAUGAAGUUUCAGUUAAAUGAAAUGGAGGUCCGAACCCGUAUAGGUUGAAAACUGUUGGGAUGAGGUGUGGGUUGGAGUGAAAGGCUAAUCAAGCUUGGAAAUAGCUGGUUCUUUCCGAAAUAUAUUUAAGUAUAGCCUCGAUGAAUUACAUACAGGGGUAAAGCACAGUUUAAAUUUUGGGGUCGCAAGAUUACCGGGUUUUUACUAACUCUGAAUACUGUAUGUUUAGAAGUCGGGAGACAGGCUACGAGAGAUAAGUUCCGUGGCCGAAAGGGAAACAGCCCAGACCAUCAAUUAAGGUCCCCAAAUAUCUACUAAGUGGUGAAAGAUGUGGAAAUACACAGACAGUCAGGAGGUUGGCUUGGAAGCAGCCAUCCUUUAAAGAGUGCGUCAUAGCUCACUGAUCAAGUGUUUUUGCGCUGAAGUAUACACGGGGCUAAGUAGAUUACCGAAAUUAUGGCUUGUGUUAUUAAUUUAACGCAGGGGUAGGAAAGCGUUCUUAGACAGAUACGAGUUUGACCGUGAGGGCAGAUGAUGGGUCUAAGAAGUGAGAAUGUUGGUAUAAGUAACGAAAAAAUAGGUGAAAAUCCUAUUCGCCGUAAGUCUAAGGUUUCCUGGGAACGGAUCAUCCACCCAGGGUUAGUCGAUCCUAAGCCGAGGCCAAUUGGAGUAGGUGAUGGAAGAACAGGUUAAUAUUCCUGUACUAUAAUAAGGUGUUUGAACAAUGGAGUGACGCAGAAAGAUAGGUGAAGUGGGCGAUGGUGCCCAUCUAAGCAAUCGAGAUAGGGUGUUAUAGGUAAAUCCGUAAUGCUGAAGAUUUGAGAUUGUGAGCGGCAUUGGACGAAAGUUCUGUGUUUUGCUGAUUUUACGCUGACAAGAAAACCUUCUAGUGAAUCUUAUUAUAUUCGUACCGUAAACUGACACAGGUAGACGGGCUGAAAAUGCUCAGGCGUUGAGAGAAAUAUCGUUAAGGAACUCGGCAAAAUAGCCUCGUAACUUCGGGAGAAGAGGUGCCCAAUAUGUACAAAAUCUGUAUGUAGAGGGUUUCAACAAAGAGGCUCAACCGACUGUUUAACAAAAACACAGAGCUCUGCAAAUUCGAAAGAAGAAGUAUAGAGUUUGACGCCUGCCCAGUGCCGGAAGGUCAACAGGAGAUGUUAGUCGUAAGGCGAAGCAUUGAAUCGAAGCCCCGGUAAACGGCGGCCGUAACUAUAACGGUCCUAAGGUAGCGAAAUCCCUUGUCGGGUAAAUUCCGACCUGCAUGAAUGGCGUAACGAGUUGAGCGCUGUCUUGACGAUAUACUCAGUGAAUUUGUAGUAGGGGUGAAAAUGCCCCUUACCUGCAACUGGACGGAAAGACCCCGUGCACCUUUACUGUAGUUUUGCAUUGGUGUUUGGAUUGGUAUGUGUAGAAUAGGCGGGAGACUGUGAAGUGAGAGCGUUAGCUUUCAUGGAGUCGCUCUUGAAAUACCGCUCUUAUUAAUUUGAAUAUCUAACUUUAUUCCAUGAAUCUGGAAGAAGGACAUUGCAUGAUGGGCAGUUUGACUGGGGUGGUCGCCUCCUAAAGAGUAACGGAGGCAUUCAAAGGUUCCCUCAAAACGAAUAGAAAUCGUUGGUUGAGUGUAAACGCAAAAGGGAGCUUAACUGCGAGACGGACAUGUCGAGCAGAUACGAAAGUAGGAGUUAGUGAUCCAGUGGUUCCGAAUGGAAGGGCCAUUGCUAAAUGGAUAAAAGGUACGCCGGGGAUAACAGGCUAAUCUCAUCUAAGAGUCCAUAUCGACGAUGAGGUUUGGCACCUCGAUGUCGGAUCAUCGCAUCCUGGGGCUGUAGAAGGUCCCAAGGGUUUGGCUGUUCGCCAAUUAAAGCGGUACGUGAUCUGGGUUCAGAACGUCGUAAGACAGUUCGGUUCUUAUCCGUUGUAGGCGCAAGGUAUUUGAGGAAGGCUGUCUUUAGUACGAGAGGACUGAUAUGAGCCCCCGACAAUUGGCGAUGGCCCAACGGAAUCAAACGUUCCAGACCAUCCCGCAGGAAUCAAAGGCCCGUAGUCAGCAGUUGGAUCACCCUCACCUAGUGGAUCACCUUCUGCAUAAUAUAACCGCCCAAGCCUCACCUCAUCGCCGGUAAGCACUCCCUC